rnacentral:rRNA from 1 species
UACGUAGGGUCCGAGCGUUGUCCGGAAUUAUUGGGCGUAAAGGGCUCGUAGGCGGUUUGUCGCGUCAGGAGUGAAAACACCGGGCUUAACUCGGUGCUUGCUUUCGAUACGGGCAGACUGGAGGUAUGCAGGGGAGAACGGAAUUCCUGGUGUAGCGGUGAAAUGCGCAGAUAUCAGGAGGAACACCGGUGGCGAAGGCGGUUCUCUGGGCAUUACCUGACGCUGAGGAGCGAAAGUGUGGGGAGCGAACAGG